GAAGGUAGAGCUCAGUGGUAGAGCUCAUGCUUAGAUGCAUGAGGUCAUGGGUUCAAUCCCCAGUACCAGUA
rnacentral:tRNA from 1 species